GCGCGGUUAGCUCAGCUGGAUAGAGCGUUGGCCUCCGAAGCCAAAGGUCAGAGGUUCGAAUCCUCUACCGCGCACCA
rnacentral:tRNA from 2 species